GAUUUUCUCUUGUUAAGAAUCUCUUGUUAAGAAAUCAUAGGGUCCUCUUCUGAAGCGAGCGUGGCCGAUUUUGGUCCGAUUGAUCAUAGUGAAAAAACAUGGCCCUAGUCAUAAUGGGUCCCGCAUAAUAAUGGGUCCCAAAGUCAACAAGGAUCAUGACUAUAUUUAGCCUGGUAAUGCUUAAAAGCAAAUUUUUUUUUUAGUUUGCUACUAAAAAAUUUAAAAAAUUUAAAAAAUUUAGAUUUUUUUGCUUUCAUAUAUUUACUUUAGCUAAAAAAAAUUAAAAAAAUCAACUCUAGUGGUUUUUUUGCUUAUAAGCUUAACGUCUUGUCAGGGCAAAUGUUUUUUUUGAAUUUUUUUAAUAGUCUUAACUUUUGAUUUUUUUUUAUUUUAAAUAAUUUUUUUAAUUAUUUUAUUAAAAUUUUAUAUUUUAUCGAUUCUUCUGUGGAUGGAAAUCCAAAAAUAUAAAUAAUUUUAUAUAAUUUAUAAAAAAACUCACUAAAGAUAAAAAAUUAUUUUUUAGAUUUUUUUGAAUGAAAUUAUUAUUUUUGGCCUUUUGUAUUUUUUUUCAAAUUAGAUGAAUAUUUUUAUAUUUUUAGACUAUAAUCAAGAUCAAAUGGAAAAAAGAGUUAACUAAAAUACCAAAAAACAGAGUCGGCAGAGAUUUGUAAAAGAAAAAAAAUAUUAAACUUGAAUCGUUAGAUUCGUUGACUUUUCUUUUUUUUUUUCUCUACCAAAUCAUAAAUCCAAAUAUAGCCUUGAACAAUUUAAGAUUGUAUUUCAAUAAAAAAAUUGGUAAGAUUUGUUAAGGAAAAUGAAAAAUUAAAAAAAAGAAAAUGCUACACAUCAUCCAAAGAACGGUGAUUUUUUUUUAAUAGGAAAGAAAUAUAUUGAUAAUUAUGAAAAUUGUAUAUAAAUUUAUAAAUAUUCGUAUUAACUACCGCUCAAUAAAUCUAACAAGCGAUGAUUGAGAGUGAAGUCAUGUGUCCAAUUGUUUUUGGUUUCAAUUUAUAUUUAUAUUUAAUGGGGUAUGAGGCCCAUAACCCAUGCACGCGAGAUCUAUUAUGUAUAUUAUUAAUUGAAUGACGAUAUGGAAUAAAAUUGAAUGAUAAGAAUAAGUUUGUAGAUAGAUUGUCAUAUUUUAAGACAAUUUUGAUUUGUAAUCAUACUGCUAUAAAUAUUAAAUCAAUUUAACUUUUUUUUUAUAGACAAUCUAUGUUCAUAGACUUAAAAAAAUGAAUCGAUUGAGAUCCUGUUUUGGGUAUUUAUUUAUUUUAUCUUUUUAUGUUAGUAAAUUUUUUUCAUCGUUUUUUUAAAUUUUAAAUUUUUUUAGUUUAUUUUGACAAGAAUAGUCCGAAGAUAGAUUUUUUUUUUAUCUAAUUUGAUUUUUUUUUAUUAAAAACGAUUAUAUUUUUUGACUCCUUUUGUCAAUAAAAAUUAAAAAAAUAUAAAUUUUUAAUCAAACAAAAAAAUAAAUUCACUAUAAAUAAAAACUUGAAAAUAAAAAAAUAAAAAUAUCCAAACUUGAAUCGAUGAAUCUUUUAGUCAUCCAAACCGGACCGACAUAGCACAAAAAUCAAAUCUAUUUGGAUAAACUGCAGAAUUCACGUGUAUACUGAAAAUCAAAGGCUGACAGCCUCGUCAAUCAGCGCAUUAAAUUGGAAAAUUAUUCAGUGCUUUGAGCGCAAGUCCUAGUAGUGUUCUAACAUUAGAAUGAUUGAUCUAAAAUACUGAUAUUCAUUAACUUUUGUGUAUAAAUUGUAGUCGACAUGUGCAAAUGUAUCACUCAGUAAAUGAUGUAGAGCAAUACUCUAAGAGUAUCGAAUAAUCUCUCAUUAAAUUUGGAUCAGCUGGGCUUGAAUCUGAACCGAAGUCCAGUUACAAGCAUUCACGAGGUGAGCAUCUUUUGUGAAGAUAGACCCAUCAUCCAUCCCGACCCAAUAGUGGCCGCAAAAAGUUCUGGCCCGGCCCACCUUCAUAGCACGUCCAAUUCAGAUCAUUUGUCCAAAUCGUUCGACCGAUUAGCCUAGAUUAUUCGGCCCGUUUUUUGGCCCAACCCAUCCGAUCCUCCACACUUCUCCAGCGCCAAGAACUGUACCAUUGGACUAAACUCAUUCAUUAAUAAAAAUAUUAAAUUUUAAUAAAUAAAUACAUCGUCAAAUAAUAAAAAAGAGGAGAAUUUUUUAGGGACCAAUAUUUGAACCCGCAACCUCGACCCUCUGCACCUAGAACCAUACUACUAGGCCAAACACUCAAUUCAUUUAUAAAAAGGUUAUGUUUUAAUAGUAAACAAAUCGCCAAACAAUAACAAGAAAAGAAGAAUAUUUGAGAGAGCAAGAUUCGAACUCACAACCUCCCUCCCCUGCAGCUUGAACCAUACUACUGGACCAAACACUUAUUCAUUUAUAAAAAUUAGUAAUUGUCCGUACCCACGAGCACUAUGUAAAAAAAAAUAUUACUUCUUAAGCAUACUCGUUAGAGUUUUGCAACAUAAAAAAAC
rnacentral:lncRNA from 1 species